rnacentral:tRNA from 1 species
CAGCGUGUAGCUCAGCAGCAGAGCACCGGGCUUGGGACUCGGAGGGCGCAGGGGCAGCACCUGCCGCGCUGG